AAUCAGCCUUUCGGGUGCGAUUAUGUGGAGCGUGAGGAGUUAAACGCCUUCAUGCCUGCGUAUUUGUACUCUGGGGUGUACUUGGACGUGCGGUAGGUUAACAUCAAUUUCGGAUGUCAUAAAAUGGCUGGAGGAAUGUAGCUUCGGUCUCGUACUGAAGUGUUAUAGCCUUUGGUAGAUGUGAUGACCGGGAUUGAGGAUUGCAACGAAUACCUUUUGGGCUAUCCGCCUGAUCUCUGAAAGUUGCUCUGGUGCCGAAAGCUUGCUUACGGUUAUCAAAGUUGACGUUCAAAAGGUUAGAACGGGUUAAAUUCGUUAAGGAUGUUGACGUAA
rnacentral:rRNA from 1 species